rnacentral:rRNA from 1 species
AGAGUUUGAUCCUGGCUCAGAACGAACGCUGGCGGUGUGCCUAACACAUGCAAGUCGCACGAGAAAUCUUGAGCAAUCGGGAGAGUAAAGUGGCGCACGGGUGAGUAACGCGUGGGUAACCUACCCUUGAGUUAGGGAUAACUCCGCGAAAGCGGGGCUAAUACCGGAUAAUAUUUCAAUUCCCUCGGGAGUUGAAAUCAAAGGUGGCCUCUGCAUGCAAGCUACUGCUUAAGGAUGGGCCCGCGUACCAUUAGCUCGUUGGUAGGGUAAUGGCCUACCAAGGCUACGAUGGUUAGCUGGUCUGAGAGGAUGGCCGGCCACACUGGAACUGAGACACGGUCCAGACUCCUACGGGAGGCAGCAGUGGGGAAUCUUGCGCAAUGGGGGAAACCCUGACGCAGCAACGCCGCGUGGGUGAUGAAGGCCUUCGGGUCGUAAAGCCCUGUCAGGUGGGAAGAAACGCAUCGAUGAUAAUACCAUCGGUGUUUGACGGUACCACCGGAGGAAGCACCGGCUAACUCCGUGCCAGCGGCCGCGGUAAUACGGAGGGUGCAAGCGUUGUUCGGAAUUACUGGGCGUAAAGCGCGUGUAGGUGGUCGGGUAAGUCAGAUGUGAAAGCCUUUCGCUUAACGAAAGAAGUGCAUUUGAAACUGCUCGGCUGGAGUACGGGAGAGGAGAGUGGAAUUCCCGGUGUAGAGGUGAAAUUCGUAGAUAUCGGGAGGAACACCAGUGGCGAAGGCGGCUCUCUGGUCCGAUACUGACGCUGAGACGCGAAAGCGUGGGGAGCAAACAGGAUUAGA